CACAACAUAAUAUGUCUCUCUUGUUCAUGAUGGUUUUCAUUGCUCUGUAGUCUACUUAAUUACAUUAAUAUAACCAUUUUUGUUUUCUUUAAUGUUUUCAAGAUAUGGUUUUCAUUCUUUUACUUUUAAUAUUUCUAUGUCAUCAGAAGUGAAAUGAGGGUUUUUUAUAGAUAGCAUAUAAUUGGAUCAUGCUUUUUAAAUAGGUAUAUGUAGAGUAUUUAUAUUUGAUAGGAUUAUUAAUAUGCCAGAACUUACAUAUGCCAUUUUGGUUUUUUGUUUUCUGUGUUUUGUUUAUAGUGUCUUAUUUCUGUUUUCCUGUGGAUUAUGUUAACAUUUUCUAGAGUUUCAUUUUGAUUUACCUAUAAUGUUUUAAAUAUAUCUCUUUUGUAAAGAGUUGUUUUGUUUUGUUUUUUUCUUUUUAUUUAUGUGCAGGGCAGGGUUGGGGGUGUGUAUCUGUGAGAGCAGGUGCCUGUCAAGGCCAGAGGCACUAGACAUCCACGAGCUGGAGUUGUAGGGGUGUGAGCCACCUGACAUGGGUUCUGAGAACAGAAGUCCAGCCAUCAAGAAGAGCAAUAAGCUUUAUUGGGGUGCACAAAGAAAAUAUCAUCAUAUGCAUUCUCCAGGAAGCAGAUUUGAGAUGGAAUUACAGGAAGUGCCAUAGGACCAGUAUCUCUGAAGGGGAAGUCGGCGUCAGUGCAUCUUUGCAGGAAUCUCUGAAUGUGACUGACUCAGCUGCUGUUCCAGGGUUGUGCUGCCCAUCUGUUGCUGUGCUCCCCACCAUGACAGUGAUGGACUCCUGUCCCUCUGAAACUACCUGGGCUGCUCUCAACCUCCGUCAGAGAACUUCUUUGUGCAGCGGGCAGCAGUCACUGCAGAGCUGCCCAGCUAGCUGAAAUGCUCAGAACAGCAGACUGAGUGCUUAGCCCCAGGUAGGACAUCUGUAUCCAAGCCACCACUAGUGCUCAGGGAGCACUGUGUAUGAAGAAGAGGAAAAAAUGUCGGAUCUGGAGGAUAAGGAAGAGCGCUGUGAAAUGCUGUCUUCUGGCCAUGGCUAUUACAUUUGGAAACUCACAACAGCUGCGGUUACCUGCAUAAGAUCAAGCCACCCAGCCUAAGGCAUAGGUGGGUGGUCUCCAGGCCCCAUUCCUUGUUGAGGGGCUAUGGGCAGCCGAUAGGUGCUUGGAGAGGGAAGAUUAUUAUGGUUGGAGGAAUUGGCCACUGGUAGGUUUCCUAUGCUCUAGGGGAGGAUGGCCCCACACCCACACAGAUAUGGGCAGUACUAAUUAAACUUCCCAGAUUGUAUAUUUAAAAAAAAUAAAAGGUAAAGUUGAGAAAGUGACCUGUUGGGGAAGAUAUGGGGGACGUUGAAGAUAUUAGGGCCUAGAUGUCAUAUUUCAUUAUUGCAUACAUAGAA